rnacentral:rRNA from 1 species
GGUAACCUGCGGAAGGAUCAUUACCGAGUGCGGGCCCUCGUGGCCCAACCUCCCACCCUUGUCUCUAUACACCUGUUGCUUUGGCGGGCCCACCGGGGCCACCUGGUCGCCGGGGGACAUCUGUCCCCGGGCCCGCGCCCGCCGAAGCGCUCUGUGAACCCUGAUGAAGAUGGGCUGUCUGAGUACUAUGAAAAUUGUCAAAACUUUCAACAAUGGAUCUCUUGGUUCCGGCAUCGAUGAAGAACGCAGCGAAAUGCGAUAAGUAAUGUGAAUUGCAGAAUUCCGUGAAUCAUCGAAUCUUUGAACGCACAUUGCGCCCCCUGGCAUUCCGGGGGGCAUGCCUGUCCGAGCGUCAUUUCUGCCCUCAAGCACGGCUUGUGUGUUGGGUGCGGUCCCCCCGGGGACCUGCCCGAAAGGCAGCGGCGACGUCCGUCUGGUCCUCGAGCGUAUGGUUCUUUGUCACUCGCUCGGGAAGGACUGGCGGGGGUUGGUCACCACCAAAAUUUUACCACGGUUGACCUCGGAUCAGGUAGGAGUUACCCGCUGAACUUAAGCAUAUCAAUA